rnacentral:rRNA from 1 species
GAUGAACGCUGGCGGCGUGCCUAACACAUGCAAGUCGAACGAACAGACGCUGCGCUCUCUCUUCUUACGUUAGCGACGGGCGGGUGAGUCACACGUAGAUUACCUUCCUCUCUGACUUAGAUAACUUCGGGUAGCCGUAGCUACUACCAGAUACCAUGACCAACUGGUUGGUUCUGCAGUUAUUUAUGGUUUUUUUGUUACUUCUAGACGUAUCCGCGUCGUAUUAGCUAGUUGGUAAGGUAACGGCCUACCAAGGCAACGUUGCGUAGCCGAACUGAGAGGGUGAUCGGCCACACGGGAACUGAGACACGGUCCAGACUCCUACGGGAGGCAGCAGUAGGGAAUCUUCCGCAAUGGGCGAAAGCCUGACGGAGCAACGCCGAGUGAGUGAAGAAGGUCUUCGGAUCGGAAAACCCGGUUAUGAGGGAAGAACAAAUGUGUGAGGAAAUAUGCACGUAUUGACGGUACCUAAAGAAAAAGCAACGGCUAACUACGUG